rnacentral:rRNA from 1 species
UACGUAGGGGGCAAGCGUUGUCCGGAUUUAUUGGGCGUAAAGAGCGUGUAGGCGGUCAGAAUAGGUCCGUUGUGAAAACUCGAGGCUCACCUCGAGACGCCGAUGGAAACCAUCUGACUAGAGUCCGGAAGAGGAGAGUGGAAUUCCUGGUGUAGCGGUGAAAUGCGCAGAUAUCAGGAAGAACACCCGUGGCUAAGGCGGCUCUCUAGUACGGUACUGACGCUGAGACGCGAAAGCGUGGGAACGAACAGG